rnacentral:rRNA from 1 species
UACAGAGGGGGCAAGCGUUGUUCGGAAUUACUGGGCGUAAAGGGCGCGUAGGCGGCCUUCUAAGUCGAACGUGAAAUCCCCGGGCUCAACCCGGGAACUGCGUCCGAUACUGGAAGGCUUGAAUCCGGGAGAGGGAUGCGGAAUUCCAGGUGUAGCGGUGAAAUGCGUAGAGAUCGGAAGGAACGCCGGUGGCGAAAGCGGUGUGCUGGACCUCUUCUGACGCUGAGGCGCGAAAGCCAGGGGAGCAAACGGG